UACGUAGGUGGCAAGCGUUGUCCGGAGUUAUUGGGCGUAAAGCGCGCGCAGGCGGUGCGGUAAGUCUCUGGUGAAAGCGCUCGGCUUAACUGGGCGAGGGCCGGGGAGACUGCCACGCUGGAGGGGAGCAGAGGCGAGUGGAAUUCCGGGUGUAGUGGUGAAAUGCGUAGAGAUCCGGAGGAACACCAGUGGCGAAGGCGGCUCGCUGGGCUUUUUCUGACGCUGAGGCGCGAAAGCGUGGGGAGCGAACCGG
rnacentral:rRNA from 1 species